GACGAACGCUGGCGGCGUGCCUAACACAUGCAAGUCGAACGGAAAGGCCCUGUUUUUGUGGGGUGCUCGUGUGGCGAACGGGUGAGUAACACGCGAGUAACCUGCCCUUGACUUCGGGAUAACUCCAGGAAACUGGGGCUCAUACCGGAUAGGAGCUCCUGCUGCAUGGUGGGGGUGGUAAAGUUUCGGCGGUUGGGGAAGGACUCGCGGUUUAUCAGCUUGUUGGUGAGGUAGUGGCUUACCAAGGCUAUGACGAGUGGCCAGACUGGGAGGGUGACCGGGCACAUUGGGACUGGGGAGCCACCAGGAGUGAUACGGGAGGAAGCGGUGGAAGAUAUUGCGCGAUGGGCGGAAGCAGGAAGCAAGGAUGCCGGGUGGGGAAUGACGGUUGUCGGGUAGUAAAGCGGUUGAGAGUGUGACGAAGCUUAAGUGACGGUAAUGAGUAAGGAAGCGCCGGCUAACUACGUG
rnacentral:rRNA from 1 species